rnacentral:rRNA from 2 species
GCUUGCUGGGGGGAUUAGUGGCGAACGGGUGAGUAACACGUGAGUAACCUGCCCUUGACUCUGGGAUAAGCCUGGGAAACUGGGUCUAAUACCGGAUAUGACUCCUCAUCGCAUGGUGGGGGGUGGAAAGCUUUUGUGGUUUUGGAUGGACUCGCGGCCUAUCAGCUUGUUGGUGGGGUAAUGGCCUACCAAGGCGACGACGGGUAGCCGGCCUGAGAGGGUGACCGGCCACACUGGGACUGAGACACGGCCCAGACUCCUACGGGAGGCAGCAGUGGGGAAUAUUGCACAAUGGGCGCAAGCCUGAUGCAGCGACGCCGCGUGAGGGAUGACGGCCUUCGGGUUGUAAACCUCUUUCAGUAGGGAAGAAGCCUUUCGGGGUGACGGUACUUGCAGAAGAAGCGCCGGCUAACUACGUGCCAGCAGCCGCGGUAAUACGUAGGGCGCAAGCGUUAUCCGGAAUUAUUGGGCGUAAAGAGCUCGUAGGCGGUUUGUCGCGUCUGCUGUGAAAGACCGGGGCUCAACUCCGGUUCUGCAGUGGGUACGGCAGACUAGAGUGCAGUAGGGGAGACUGGAAUUCCUGGUGUAGCGGGUGAAAUGCGCAGAUAU